rnacentral:rRNA from 1 species
AGAGCUCAUAUUUGAAAGCUGGCGUCUUCGGCGUCCGCGUUGUAAUCUCGAGACGUGUUUUCCGUGCGGCUCUAUGGACAAGUCCCUUGGAACAGGGCAUCGUAGAGGGUGAAAAUCCCGUACUUGCCAUGGAAGUACCGUGCUUUGUGAUACACGCUCCAAGAGUCGAGUAGUUUGGGAUUGCUGCUCAAAGUGGGUGGUAGACUCCAUCUAAAGCUAAAUAUCGGGGAGAGACCGAUAGCGAACAAGUACCGUGAGGGAAAGAUGAAAAGCACUUUGGAAAGAGAGUUAAAAGUACGUGAAAUUGUCGAAAGGGAAGCACUUGAAGUCAGCCAUGCUGCUUGAGACUCAGCCUGGCUUUUGCUUGGUGUAUUUCUCGGUAGCAAGCCAGCAUUGGUUUGUGUCGUCGGAGAAGCGUAUGGGGAAUGUGGCAUCCUCGGAUGUGUUAUAGCCCUGUGCUGGAUACGACGACGUAGACCAAGGAACGCAGUGUGCCCUCUGGGCGGGUCUUCG